UCCGGUGGUGCCGGAGGGAAAGCCGUUAAGCCCCGCCGCCUGGGAAGUACGGGCCGCAAGGCUGAAACUUAAAGGAAUUGGCGGGGGAGCACUACAACGGGUGGAGCCUGCGGUUCAAUUGGAUUCAACGCCGGGAAGCUUACCGGGGGAGACAGCUGGAUGAAGGUCGGGCUGAAGACCCUACCAGACUAGCUGAGAGGUGGUGCAUGGCCGCCGUCAGUUCGUACUGUGAAGCAUCCUGUUAAGUCAGGCAACGAGCGAGACCCGCGCCCUCAGUUGCCAGCGGAUCCCUUCGGGGAUGCCGGGCACACUGAGGGGACUGCCGGCGCUAAGCCGGAGGAAGGUGCGGGCAACGGCAGGUCCGUAUGCCCCGAAUCCCUCGGGCUACACGCGGGCUACAAUGGCCGGGACAAUGGGUACCGACCCCGAAAGGGGUAGGUAAUCCCCUAAACCCGGUCUAACCUGGGAUCGAGGGCUGCAACUCGCCCUCGUGAACCUGGAAUUCCGUAGUAAUCGCGCCUCAAAAUGGCGCGGGAAAU
rnacentral:rRNA from 1 species